UACGACCGCUCACUUCGGUGGGAGCGGCGGUACGGGUGAGUAACGCGUGGGAACGUACCCUUCUCUGCGGAAUAGCCAUUGGAAACGAUGAGUAAUACCGCAUACGCCCUUCGGGGGAAAGAUUUAUCGGAGAAGGAUCGGCCCGCGUUAGAUUAGAUAGUUGGUGGGGUAAUGGCCUACCAAGUCUACGAUCUAUAGCUGGUUUUAGAGGAUGAUANGCCACACUGGGACUGAGGCACGGCCCAACUCCUACGGGAGGCAGCAGUGGGGAAUCUUAGACAAUGGGCGCAAGCCUGAUCUAUCCAUGCCGCGUGAGUGAUGAAGGCCCUAGGGUCGCAAAGCUCUUUCGCCAGGGAUGAU
rnacentral:rRNA from 1 species